AUGGGCAGAUCUGCAAUUUCUCAGGCCCUCCCGGUGCACCAGGAGGACGAAGACCUGUUCGAGACCUCGUCAUCCUUCUCCUGCGACUCCGACGACGAGGCCCAGUUCUCGGACGGCGAGGACCAGUUUGUGCCGGCUUCCCCGCCGGUGCGGAGACUCAACUCUGACAGCGUCUACGAUCUGUCGUCCAUCAAGGCUGAGCUCUCUGCCAAGAAAGAAGGGUUGUCCAAGUACUACGACGGAAAGUCCCAGUCGUUCGCGUGCAUGUCCGAGGUGAGGUGCCUGGAGGAUCUGCCCAAGAAGAGCCCCUACAAGAAGAUCAAGUCAUGCAGGAGCAACAUCAAUCUAGACGGAAACCAGAGAGAUUGCCCCGUAACUGGUUCUAACAACAGCAAAGGAAUCGCCAAGCAGAGCUCUGCGAGUUCCUGCGCGAAUCUGAUGAUGGCGCGGACCAGCAGCGCCAACAUGCUCUACAGGCCUCCGGCGAUCCCUGUUAACAAGAGCGCGUGCCACCAGUAG
rnacentral:rRNA from 1 species